GAUGAAGAACGCAGCGAAAUGCGAUAAGUAAUGUGAAUUGCAGAAUUCAGUGAAUCAUCGAAUCUUUGAACGCACAUUGCGCCCGCCAGUAUUCUGGCGGGCAUGCCCGUUCGAGCGUCAUUUCAACCAUCAAGCCCCCGGCUUGUGUUGGGGACCUGCGGCUGCCGCAGGCCCUGAAAAGCAGUGGCGGGCUCGCUGUCACACCGAGCGUAGUAGCAUACAUCUCGCUCUGGGCGUGCUGCGGGUUCCGGCCGUUAAACCACCUUCAUAACCCAAGGUUGACCUCGGAUCAGGUAGGAAGACCCGCUGAACUUAAGCAUAUCAAUAAGCGGAGGA
rnacentral:misc_RNA from 1 species